UUUCUCGCCGGCGCGCUGCCCUCGUUGCUCUUUGACCAGAAGAGUUUCCCAGAGAUCUGUCAGAGUCUGAUGGCAAAGUGCUCUUUUAUCUUUAGUGGCGGGGCUGGAGCUGCCUUUGGCCGGGUUUCGCAGAGGGGCUCUUUUAGGGGGUUUCCAAGUAGGCUGCAGCCGAGGAUUGCCCCCCGCGCGGGGGCGGGAAGACGGGGGCUGCCCCUGAGAAUGACACUUCUUACCGGGCUCCAUCCCGGGGGUGAGGAGCCCCAAGCCUGCCAUUACCAGUUACUUCAUUACCGUGAAUCAAGUAGAACCCACGCAUUAGGGCUGGAGAAGGGAAAGAAACCAGAGCGCGGGGCCCCAGAUCUGUCGGUCCUCAAAGCCUGUUCUGACCGCUGUUCAUCACACCAGCUACAGUUUUGUCAAGUCCUACAUGAGAAACCAGGCUCAGAGAGGUGAAGUCACUUGCCCAAGAUUACACAGCAAGUAAAUGGUAGACCUGGCAUUCAAAUCCAGAGCCUAUCAUUUGGAUUUGCAGAUGAUCUUUGACAGGCUUGCUUUUGGAAGAUAACCCUUCAAUUCGUGCCAUCACUUUGGGACAUGGACAGAUACUGGUGGGAACGAAAAAUGGAGAGAUCCUGGAAAUUGAUAAGAAUGGCCCAAUGACACUGCUCAUUCAGGUACUGUGUUUGCACACAUCCUAAACCACAAUUCACACCAGAGCUGGAACCAGGGUGAGGCAACGGGGGGCACUUAGGGCGCAAAAUUUAAGGAGACACUCACUAUCAGGGUCAGGCAAAUGCUGUAUUAAUCAUCUAUUGCUGUAUAACAAAUUGUCACAAACUUAGCAGCUUAAAACAAAAACAUUCCUCAUCUUAUGGUUUCUGCAGGUCAGGAGCCUGAACACAGUUUAACUGGGUCCUCUGUUUAAGGUUUUCUAAGGCUGCAAUAAGGGCCAGGGCUGUGGUCUCAUCUGAGGCUUAACUGUGGAUCUGCUCCAAGGUCACUCGAGUUGUUGGCAGAGUUCAGUUCGUUGGGGAUGCAGGACUGAGGGCUUCCGUUUCUUGCUGGCUAUUGGCCAGAGGCCACCCUCAGCUCUCAGAGGCUGCCUAUAGUUCCUCAUCACAUGGGGUUCCCCAACAUGGCUGCUUGCUUCCUCAAAGAGAGCAAGGGAAAGAGGAAGAACAGGUACUACUGUGCCUUUAAGUAACUUUAAAUAACAUAAUCAUAUCAUCACAUAUGUGUAAUCAUGAACAUCCAUCCCCUUUGCCAUAUUUUGUUGGUUGGUAACAAGCCACAGGCUAUACCACACUCAAAGGGAGGUGGUUACACAAGAGUGUGAAAACCAAGAGCAUCAUGAGGGUCACCUGUCCAGCACAGUCUGCCCUCUGGCCACCAAUUAUCAUGUCUCUACCACAUGCAAAAUACAUCCCCCCCCCAAGGUCCCCAAGAGCCUUAUCCCAUCAUAGUAUCUGUUCAAAGUCCAUAAUCUCAUUGUCUAAAUCAGGCCCAGGUGUGGGUGGGGCUGCUUGGGUGUAUUUCCUCUUGAUCUGUCAAAAUCUGCAGGCGGAUUCUUAACUACUGCACCACCAGGGAAGUCCCGAGAUUGUUUUAUUUCUUCCUUUUCCUUUUUAAAAUA